AUUUUUUUCUUGUCCUCUUUGUAGCUCGUCGCCGAUAAAGAGAUCAAGGAUAAGAUCUUAGACUUGGCUGUCUACUGUCUACAGAAGAAAAGGGGAUGCAAAAGGACGCUUCUUCUCAAAGAACUGGAGACCCACCUGGAAACGUGCGGUUAUGUGCCAGUUUCGUGUCCAUGCAGUUGUGGACUACAGGUAACGAAAAGAGAACUGGCGCAGCAUUUGACAUCUACUUGCGAUCGAAGGCUCGUAGCUUGCCCUUUUUGCCAAGAUGAAGUAGUCUACAAGGAUAUGGACGCCCACAAUGAAGUAUGUGGUAAAAGGCCCGUUGUUUGCCCACAUUGUAAAGCGGAGGUUAAACGAGAACAGGUA